AGAGUUUGAUCCUGGCUCAGAAUGAACGCUGGCGGCGUGCUUAACACAUGCAAGUCGUGCGCGAAGGUGACUUCGGUUGCCGGAGAGCGGCGAACGGGUGAGUAACACGUGGGUGAUCUGCCUGUGAGCGGGGGAUAACCUGGGGAAACUCGGGCUAAUACCGCAUACGUUGAUCUGGUUGCGGCCGGAUCAGGAAAGCUGGCCUCUAUUUAUAAGCUAGCGCUCGCAGAGGAGCCCGCGGCUGAUUAGCUAGUUGGUGAGGUAAUGGCUCACCAAGGCUUCGAUCAGUAGCCGGCCUGAGAGGGUGAUCGGCCACACUGGGACUGAGACACGGCCCAGACUCCUACGGGAGGCAGCAGUGGGGAAUAUUGGACAAUGGGCGCAAGCCUGAUCCAGCAACGCCGCGUGGAGGACGAAGGUCUUCGGAUCGUAAACUCCUGUCAGGCGGGACGAAGGUUGCGGGGCAAACAGUCCUGCAGCUUGACGGUACUGCCAGAGGAAGCCCCGGCUAACUCCGUGCCAGCAGCCGCGGUAAUACGGAGGGGGCGAGCGUUAUUCGGAAUUAUUGGGCGUAAAGGGCGCGUAGGCGGCCCGGUAAGUCAAAGGUGAAAUCCCUCGGCUCAACUGAGGAACUGCCUUUGAAACUGUCGGGCUUGAGGCCGGGAGGGGGUAGCGGAAUUCCCAGUGUAGCGGUGAAAUGCGUAGAUAUUGGGAGGAACACCGGUGGCGAAGGCGGCUACCUGGACCGGUUCUGACGCUGAUGCGCGAAAGCGUGGGUAGCAAACAGGAUUAGAUACCCUGCUAGUCCACGCUGUAAACGAUGAGUGCUCGGUGUCGCGGGUAUCGACCCCUGCGGUGCCUUAGCUAACGCGUUAAGCACUCCGCCUGGGGAGUACGGUCGCAAGGCUGAAACUCAAAGGAAUUGA
rnacentral:rRNA from 1 species